UAACUUACUUGGCGUGGAGGAGUGCCGCGAUCAAGAAGGCGGCUCCUUCUGGGCGAGACCGGGCCAUUGCACUUGGCGGUCCGGUUGAGCCUUGCGGCUACCCCUAAAGCGGGCAGCCGAGCGCAUAAUUUUUGGUAGUCGGGAUGUGCGUUCGCGCUAUUCCCGG